rnacentral:rRNA from 1 species
UAUUGGACAAUGGGGGCAACCCUGAUCCAGCCAUGCCGCGUGAGUGAUGAAGGCCCUAGGGUUGUAAAGCUCUUUUAACGGGGAAGAUAAUGACGGUACCCGUAGAAUAAGCCCCGGCUAACUUCGUGCCAGCAGCCGCGGUAAUACGAAAGGGGGCUAGGCGUUGCUCCGGAAUCCCUGGGCGUAAAGGGGUGCGUAGGGUGGAUAUUUAAGUCAGGGGGUGAAAUCCUGGAGGCUCAACUCCAAAACUGCCUUUGAUACUGGGAUCUUAGUUCGGGGGGGGUGGGUGAACUGCGGGUGAGGGGGUAAAUUCGUGAAUUCGAAGACCCCGUGGCGAAGGCGGCUACUGGCCCAUCUGCCUGGCGAGACCGCU